GGAGUUUAGCGUGUACGCGAGUCAAUGAGUAUACACUAAACUUAAAGGCGAAACAAAAGUGAAGGCCCUUCUUUGAAGAGCUGAGGGAAGAUGUGAUGACUCGCUCCCUCUGGCUUCGGCCGGAUAGCAGUCACUCCGCAUUCCCGGGGCGUUCAACUCUCAUUGCGAGAGUGGGCGCACCCAGAGCGUACACGCUGAUACCCGAAAGAUGGUGAACUAUGCCUGGCCAGGACGAAGCCAGGGGAAACCCUGGUGGAGGUCCGAAGCGAUUCUGACGUGCAAAUCGAUCGUCGGAGCUGGGUUUAGGGGCGAAAGACCAAUCGAACCAUCUAGUAGCUGGUUCCCUCUGAAGUUUCCCUCAGGAUAGCUUGCUUUCAGAGAAAAAUAUUGAGUCUCAUCCGGUAGAGCGAAUGAUUAGAGGCCUUGGGGUCGGAAUGACCUCAACCUAUUCUCAAACUCCAAAUAAAUGAGAUUUCCGGCUUGCUUGUGAAAUGAAGCCGCUGAAAUUGGAUCUAGAAAGUCAAGUGGGCCAAUACU
rnacentral:rRNA from 1 species